rnacentral:piRNA from 1 species
UGGAAUGCUGAGUUGGUCAUGAUUCC